rnacentral:lncRNA from 1 species
UUUUCUUAGAGAUAUUCUUUGGAGUGCUUAGCAAGCUCUGAUUCUUGGAAGGGAGAUAAGUGAUUCCUUCUUUAAAUUAAAAAAGAAGGUAAGAAUUGUGACCUUUUCUGUUUUAAAGCAGCUAUAUCUGCUGUUGCCUUUCUCUAUCCAAAGUAAUAUGAUGUUUUAAUAGCAACAGUUCUACUGGUAACUAAAACAUUAGUGAAAAAUAACUGGGUUUACUGCACUAAUCUUUGACAGAAAAUAAUCUGGUGUUAGGUCUUGUUUAAAUAUUUCAUGUGUCAUAACUCAUAAGGUUCUCUGUUUACAUUUCAGUCUAUUAAAUACAUAGUCAUGAAGCAAUUAAUCAGACUCUAAGGCCAGAUGCAGCUAUUUUGCAGCACUUUUUGUAGCUUAUUUGUGCCCUGUCACCACCACGGUGUCCUGCUUGUUGAAGUGGGAGAUCUGAGUCAGUAAAUCUUACAGCUGUUUCCUGAUCCUCCUGUGAGCCCAAGUGAUGGAGCAUGUCCCCUCAAGGCACAAAGCAGCAGGAAUUAGCCAGGUGCUGAUUAGCAGGUGUCCGUAUUGUAAGAGCUAUUUCACAGAAGAAACCUCAUGGAACUAAAGAAAAAUGGUGAAUGGGGACAAAAAAAAGGAUUUCUUUCUUGAAGAAGAGAGAUGCACAAGAUAAUGAAGUGUUCAUUUGGAUUGCUGAAAUCAGUUGUGGAGUCUCAGUCACUGCUAUAUGCCUUGGAACCAUCCUGACAUCCAACAAGAAAGACUAAGGAUAAAUGGCUCCUAGUUUCCAUCAGUGAUUGGGACUAUGGGGCCCCUCUAAGGAGGAGGAGGUCCUGGACCACCCCCGUGAAUGUGUGGGUUAUCACCAGGCCUUUCACAAGUAGAUGAAGCAUGAACAUUUUGUGAAGUUCCAAGUGGAAUAAUUGCAUUUAAAGAGCAACUGCAGCCAACUCUAAUGACUUUGUCCCAAAAUGUGUUAGGAUUUGCUGCACUCUGGGUGACGUGUGUAGGCUUUUAUAAGGUGUU